CUACAAAUCACUUAGCCAAAAAGAAAUUUGAAUGAUACAGAGAAGAUUAGCAUGGCCCCUGCUAGGGAUGGGCAAAAUACCUAUGGGUUUGAGUAACUGUGG